AGAGUUUGAUCCUGGCUCAGGAUGAACGCUGGCGGCGUGCCUAAUACAUGCAAGUCGAACGCUUCACAUAUGUGAAGAGUGGCGAACGGGUGAGUAAUACAUAAGUAACCUGGCCUUUACAGGGGGAUAACUAUUGGAGACGAUAGCUAAGACCGCAUAGGUGUGAUAACCGCAUGGAGAUGACAUGAAAUAUGCUACGGCAUAGGUAGAGGAUGGACUUAUGGCGCAUUAGCUAGUUGGAGGGGUAACGGCCCACCAAGGCGACGAUGCGUAGCCGACCUGAGAGGGUGACCGGCCACACUGGGACUGAGACACGGCCCAGACUCCUACGGGACGCAGCAG
rnacentral:rRNA from 1 species